UGACCCGUCUGAAACACGGACCAAGGAGUUUAAUUAGGCAUCGAGUCGAUCGGUCUUGAAUAGGCCAGAAAGGAGAGUUUCAACACUCUCCAAUUGAAGGCGUAGAGAAAUCAAAUCGUGUGAUCUUUGGGGCAACAACAGCCUCUUUGCGCAACACGUGCCUGUUCAAUCGUUGUGUUAGCAAUAACCAACUGGGCGGAGUUAAGAGAUGCCUGAUUGGGACCCGAAAGAUGGUGAACUAUGCUUGGGCAAAUUGAAGCCAGAGGAAACUCUGGUGGAGGAUUGUAGCGAUUCUGACGUGCAAAUCGAUCGUCAGACCUGAGUAUAGGGGCGAAAGACUAAUCGAACCAUCUAGUAGCUGGUUCCUUCCAAA
rnacentral:rRNA from 1 species